UCUGGGAACAGUGGUGUAGGUCUGUAAUCCCAGUGACUUGGAAGGCUGAGGCAGGAGGAUCGUGAGUUCAAACUUAUCCUCAGUUUAGUGAGGGUCUAAACAACUCAGUGAGAUCCUGUCUCUA
rnacentral:sRNA from 1 species